rnacentral:rRNA from 1 species
GCGAUGCGCAUGGGCGAAGCCUGCGCAGCGACGCCGUGCCUGAUGACGGUUUUCGGAUUGUAAACUCCUGUUAAGUGGGAAGAAAAGCUUGACACUAAUACGGUCAAGUUAUGACGUUACCACUAGAGAAAGCACCGGCUAACUUCGUGCCAGCAGCCGCGGUAAUACGAGGGGUGCUAGCGUUAUUCGGAAUUACUGGGCGUAAAGGGUGCGUAGACGGCGCAUUAAGUCUGUUGUUAAAUCCUCCGGCCUAACUGGAGUUCAGCGAUAGAAACUAAUGUGCUAGAGGAUGGAAGAGAGAAGUGGAAUUCUCGGAGUAGCGGUAAAAUGCGUAGAUUCUCUUUAGGAACACCAAUGGCGAAGGCAGCUUCUUGGUCCAUUCCUGACGUUGAGGCACGAAAGCGUGGGGAGCAAACAGGAUUAGAUACCCUGGUAGUCCACGCCGUAAACGAUGAUCACUAGACGUUAGUUCUGUUUAACAGAAUUAGUGUCGUAGCUAACGCGUUAAGUGAUCCGCCUGGGGAGUACGGUCGCAAGACUAAAACUUAAAGGAAUUGACGGGGGCCCGCACAAGCGGUGGAACAUGUGGUUUAAUUCGACACUACGCGAGGAACCUUACCUAGGCUUGACAUGCUUCUGACACCCGUAGAAAUACGGUCUUCCGAGUUUACUCGGACAGUUGCACAGGUGCUGCAUGGCUGUCGUCAGCUCGUGUCGUGAGAUGUUGGGUUAAGUCCUUUAACGAGCGCAACCCUUUCUGUCAGUUGCUACUCACUUUGUGAGGCACUCUGACGGGACUGCCUGGGAAACCAGGAGGAAGGUGGGGAUGACGUCAAGUCAUCAUGGUCCUUACGCCUAGGGCUACACACGUUGUUACAAUUGC